rnacentral:rRNA from 1 species
AUGGCCUCGGGACCGCCGCACGUGCCGUCACAGCAGGCGCAGUACGGCGGGUCCUCCAGCUCCGCGGGCCCCUACGUUGGCCUCGACGCGCCGCCGUUCCAUGGGGUGCCCCCUGUGAUCACCGACCCGACGCCGCUGCUCUGCACCACCGCGACGUACCCCCACGGCGGUCAUACCCAGACGGCGCCGCACUUCGCCAAGUUCGCCUUCGCCACCUACGAUGGCACCGAGGACCCCCUCAACUGGCUUAAUCAGUGUGACCAGUUCUUCCGGUGGCAACGCACGCUCGCGUCGGACCGCACCUGGCUCGCUUCAUAUCACCUCCGAGGCGCCGCACAGACUUGGUAUUACGCUCUCGAGCAGGGGGAAUGCGGCAUGCUUCCAUGGGAGCGUUUUCGCGAGCUCUGCCUCCUUCGCUUAGGGCCGCUGAUACGCGGGAGCCGGCUGGCGGAGUUGGGCCGUCUCCCCUUCACCUCUAUGGUGCAGGACUUCACUGACCGCUUUCAGGCCCUGACGUGCCACGCGCCCGGCGUGGCGGCUUGCCAGCGGGCCAAGCUCUUCGUCGGCGGUUUGCCGGAUCAUAUCCGCGUGGACGUGGAGCUGCGGGGACCCCAGACCUCCAGACGGCCAUGUACUACGCCCGCGCGUUCGAGCGCCGCGCGGUGGCCAUCCAGCAGGCAUCACCGUCCCGGGCCGCUGGGCCACCACCCUGGCCGGACGUUCCCGCACAGGGUCGGCCUGCUCAGGCUUCCGCGGCACCCCUCGCAGCGACCGCGGCGCGCCCGUUCCGCCGGCUCACCCCGGCCGAGCAACUCGAGCGUCGCCGCCAAGGGUUGUGCUUCAACUGCGACGAGCCCUACGUGCCCGGCCACGUCUGCCCGCGACUCUUCUACAUGGAGGCUGUGGACUACAUUGAGGAGGACGCCGCCGCCGCCGGGCUCGGCGACCUGCCCGCCCCAGCUGCCGCGGAGGUGUUUGGCGACGGUUGAUCACCUCGAGGAGUUCCGCAAGCGCUUCCCCGCCUUCCAGCUCGAGGACGAGCUGUUUGUGCAAGCGGGGAGAAAUGUUAUGACCGGCAUAUUAGGGGUUUAG